GCCUCCAUGGCGCAGCGAUAGUGCAUCCAGCAACAAUAGUUGGAUCUCAAAUAUUCUCUCAGGGAGGGCCGUUGUUCGACUCAACGUGGAGGCA